GCAGUCGAGCGGGGGAAGGUAGCUUGCUACUGGACCUAGCGGCGGACGGGUGAGUAAUGCUUAGGAAUCUGCCUAUUAGUGGGGGACAACAUCUCGAAAGGGAUGCUAAUACCGCAUACGUCCUACGGGAGAAAGCAGGGGAUCUUCGGACCUUGCGCUAAUAGAUGAGCCUAAGUCGGAUUAGCUAGUUGGUGGGGUAAAGGCCUACCAAGGCGACGAUCUGUAGCGGGUCUGAGAGGAUGAUCCGCCACACUGGGACUGAGACACGGCCCAGACUCCUACGGGAGGCAGCAGUGGGGAAUAUUGGACAAUGGGGGGAACCCUGAUCCAGCCAUGCCGCGUGUGUGAAGAAGGCCUUAUGGUUGUAAAGCACUUUAAGCGAGGAGGAGGCUACUCUAGUUAAUACCUAGGGAUAGUGGACGUUACUCGCAGAAUAAGCACCGGCUAACUCUGUGCCAGCAGCCGCGGUAAUACAGAGGGUGCGAGCGUUAAUCGGAUUUACUGGGCGUAAAGCGUGCGUAGGCGGCUUAUUAAGUCGGAUGUGAAAUCCCCGAGCUUAACUUGGGAAUUGCAUUCGAUACUGGUGAGCUAGAGUAUGGGAGAGGAUGGUAGAAUUCCAGGUGUAGCGGUGAAAUGCGUAGAGAUCUGGAGGAAUACCGAUGGCGAAGGCAGCCAUCUGGCCUAAUACUGACGCUGAGG
rnacentral:rRNA from 1 species